UAUACCAAGAAACUCCAUCAAAUCAAGUCCUAAACAUCUUUAUUCCUUGAAUCAAGAACUAGUUUGGAGGGAUUUUCAAGCUUGAAGCAAAAGAGAAGAUUUUUAUCCUUCCUUAAAUAAUUGAGUAAGUACUAGAUCUAUUUAGAUCUAAGCUUGAUUGAGUUAUAUAUGUGUAUAAAUGGUUUAGAUCUAGCAAGAAAACAUCUUUUUUCUUUUUCUUUUUGUAAUUUUCGAAAUUUAGGGGUUCUCCCCUUCAAAAAAUUUUCUUAUUCUUUUCUUAAUUUGGCAUGAGAUCUAUGCUUAUUGAGGUGUUUUGAGAUGAUUUCUAUGUGUAUUGAGGGGCUUUGCCAUGAGAUAUGAUUUUUCAUUUAGGUUAGUUUGUUCUUAAAUUAGAAAUUCUUGAAUCUAUGGAUUAAAUGAUGAAUUGAUGGUGAAUAUGAGCUUAUGAGAUGACUAAUAUGAUAUUUGAUGGAGUAGAUUGAUGAAUGAAGUUGAUGGUCAAAUUUCGGUGAGAGUUAGUUUGAUGUGAUUUGGGUAAAACUUAUUCUAUGGUUUAAUUGAUUAAUUGAUUGGUUAAUAAUGCAAUCAGGUGAUUCAAUUUGAUUAAUCUAAGGUUGGAUUAAGGAUUUAUGCAUGUUUGUAGAUUUUUCAAAAAGUUUAGUUUGUUAAAAAUUGGGACUUUGUGAUCUAUGUGUUAAUUGAUUAAAUUGGCUAAGUUUAAUUGUUAUUAAGCAUGAUAGAAAUGAUAAUUAGGAUCAAUUUGGUUAAUUGUCAAGAAUUCCUAAAAUUGGUUAAGUUUAGUUUACUAAUAAUUGGGAACUUUUGAUUAAUGAGAUAACUACUUGAAUUGAUGAUGUUUAUAUGUUAGUUAGACUACUAGCAAUGAGAAAGCAUGAUAAAUUUGGUUAAUGAUGUGAUUUGUGAAAGUUUCUCGAGUUUAGUUUACGUGCAUACAUGAGAUCUUAUAUAUAAGAUGAGUUAUGAGUUGAGCAUGUUUAUGUAUGGCUAUUUGAUGAUUAAUUGAGCUUGUAUAUGCGAUAUGAGACGAAACGGACCAACUCCUAAUGACUUAUGUGUUGGCCGAAUGUAAGGAGAAAAAGGGGAAGUCGAUGUUUGAAUUUUCUUGAGUUAUAUGAUCAUGUAUUUAUGUUAUUGUGAUUUAUAUGAGCUUAAUUUGAAUUUUUGAGAAUUUUUCAUCGAAGAAGUCCGGAAUUUAGGUAUAUUUGCUUUAUGCUCAAGUUUGGAGUUAAUUUGAGAACCUUUUUAAAGGCUACUGACCUACUGUUUUCGACGUGAUUUUGAUAUCCAAAAGCCAUGAAAAUUUUAUGGUAAGUAUAUUUGAGAGUUUUGAGCACACUGGUAAAAUUUCAAGCCAUUCCAACUUCGUUUGAUAUUUUUUUAAAAUGCAAAACCUAAACUGCACAUUACUACCGAGAGUUUCAGAGAACAGGGGAAAGAGUCAUUCAUUUCAGUAGCUUCCUGUGUGAUCUAGCUUUCCAAUUUUUUAUGGUAUUAACCUUAUUGUGUUAGCUAGAUAUCCACCAGAUUUGAGUCCAUUUUGACAACGUUUACUAUUUUUCAAAAAUCUAAGUUUUCUAUUGCCAAAACUGCCGAAUGUGGUAGACUGUAGUAAAACAGUCAUAUCUCCUAAAAUACUAGGAGUUUUUGACCCUAUUUUUUUUAAAUGAAACUAGACUCAAAGAGGUUUCGUUUGGUAUAGGUUACGACUCCAGGACAGUUCUGUACCGAGUCUGGUGAGGUUUUGAAGUUGAGUCAGUGCAGAGUGAAGUUUGUUUUUGACUUGUCUAUGUGUGUUUUUCAUAUGCUUAAGUGUUUAUGCUUGUUUAUGUGCUUAAAUGCUAUGAGUUUGAGCCGAGUUGAGAGUUAAGUCAAGAAUAGGACUUGUGAAUCCUUAGAAGUUGAGUAUACCUAGGGAUUGAGUUUUGUUGGGUAAAUAGACGUUGAGUGAGAAGUUAUAGUUUGAGAUGAGAUUGGAUUUAGUAAUUGAGUUUCUGACUAAGGUUUGUUUUAUCACAUGAACCUUCGAUGACGAUGAUGAUGAUAUAUGAAGGCCCGAGCGAGACGAAGAAGUAAGUCGCCUGAUUCUUUCCAGGAUUAGCGAAGGACUUCAGGUGGGCAAUAUUUUGAGUAUACAUAUAUCGUAUGAGCUUUCUAAAAUGAUUUGAUGAUGUUAUGAGUUUAUCAAAUGUUUUGAGAUAAAUGAUGUUUAAGAACUGUUUGACUUGCCAAUUUUUNUAGGUAUAAUUGCUUGUAUGUUCAAGUUUGGAGUCAUUUUAUGACCUUUUAUACCUACUGUUUCGUUGGGUUCUUGUUACCUAAAGACCUUGAAAAUUGUAUGAUAAGAUUAAAUAAGAGUCAGGAGCAUACCGGUAAAAUUUCAAGUCAAUUGGACUUUGUUUACUAUUUUUAUAAAAUAGAAAACUAAAACUGCUACCUUCUGCCGAAAUGUUCGGUGAGUAUCCAAUAGAGUCACCUCUUCCAGUGUCCUUCCCUAACUUUUUGGAGCCUAAAUUUUUAUUUUUAAGACAUGAGUGUCUUAUCUAAGUCCCCACCAAAUUUCAAGCCUUUUCGGCAACGUUUACUAUUUUUCAAAAAUCAAAGUUUUCAAUUGCUCAAAACUGCCGAAUAUGGUAGACUGUAGGAAAACAAUCAUAUCUCCUAAACUACUUGGAGUUGUUCAUCCUACUUUUUUUUGAAUGAAACUAGACUCAAAGAGGUUUUAAAUGGUAUAGGUCAUGACUCCAGUGGAGCUCUGUACCGAAUCUGGUGAAGUCUUUAAAUCGAGUCAGUGCAGAAUGAUGUUUGUUUGUGACAUGUCUAUGUGUGAAUUUAUAUGUUUAUGUGAUUAUGCUUGUUUAUGUGCUUGAUUGCUAUGGGUUUAAUUCGAGUUGAGUGUUAAGUCGAGAGUAGGACUUGUGAAUCCUUAGGAGUUAAGUAUACCUAGGGAUUGAGAUUUAUUUGGGUAAAUAGAAGAUGAGUGAUAAGUUAAAGUUUGAGACGAGAUUGGAUUUUAGUAAAUGAGUUUCUAACUGAGGUUUAUCUUAUCUCAUGAACCACUCCGACAUUGUGACAUCUGAAGAUACGAGCAGAGGACGGAGGUAAGAUCGUCCAAGUACUACGAGAGUAAGCUAAGUUUGUCAGGUGGCUAUUAUUUUGAUAUACCUAUUAUACGAGCUUUACUUAAAUGAUAUGAUACUUAUGAUUAUGAAUUGAGUUAAUGUUACGCUUGAAACUAAUUGACUUGCCGAGUUUUGUUAAUAAUGACUUGUGUGUUACCCUCUACUGUUGAGACGAAUUCGGUCAUGCCACAAGCGGGAUUUUGUGCACAGAGGUGACUGUGAGCCGUCUAUCGGGUCGGCCGGUCACGGUACUUGAGAGGGAGGCCUACUUCUCAGUACCUUUAAUGAUGAGUAGUGGAUGUGGUACAUACAUAAUGAAUGUUUAAACUGCGCAGUUACUUUAUUAUGAUGCUAUGAUUUGCGAAAUUGCAUGCACAAGUUCUUCUCUAACUAAAACCCUUGUGCGUUGCUUAAUGUGGCAAGUUCAAUUUAUAGCUCUAAGAGCAAGCUUUCUUUUGUUUUUCGGCAUAUGUACACUGAGUACUUUGUACUCAACCCUGCAUGUAUUUCUAAAUGUGCAGGAUAAGCGAGAAGGAGGAAGAUCGGUCUGGUGCUGGUGGGGACUUUUUGGACGACGUUGUUCCUUUUACCGUAUUUAUAUUACAUACGGUAGCUUUUUGAUGUCGAUGUUUAUAUUUUGGACUUAGUCAAGAAGUAUACUCUCGGCUAUAUGUCUUCAUACAUAUAGUCUGUUCACAUUUUGCUGCGAGACUCUGUAAAUUAUGAACCUUUGUGAAUAUUUAACUAUGUCCGCUUUGUAAACUUUGUCGAGAAUCCCUGUACUUUUGAACUUACGAAGCUGAUAAUAUUUGUGUCUUUGAGAUGAUGUUAUUGUUAUUCACUUUUGCUUGUGUUGUUGUGAGCUUCCGCUUGUUGUUUGAUCUAGUUUUUCCUUCUUUACUUCAUUAUUUUAUUUAGUCGUAUCGAUACUCGGUCUACGCUAUCACUGGCUAGACGUCGGGCUGCGACAACUUGAUUGGGGGGCAUUGAUAUCUUGAAGGACUUGGAUUGAUUUGUGUUUGUUUGGUGAGAAGAAUCGCUUGUGGAUUUCCUUUCGAUGUUGUGAUUGUUGCUUGAGGACAAGCAAGGACUUAAGUGUGGGGGGGUUGUUUAGUCCUAUUUUGUGAUGAUUUUACGGGUCUUUUUGUUGUGCAUUCGAGCAUGCUUCGUGUCUUUUUGAUCUAUCCUUCACUUGCUCG
rnacentral:lncRNA from 1 species